UCCCUCCCAUUCCACUCCAGUCCACCACCGCUCCCAUUCCCCAGCCGCCGUCGCCAUGGCCAGCGCCGCCCACUCCCUUCUGCACACACCGGAGGCCCACAGGGCCGCCACCCGCUCGCCCUUCUCUCCUCCCGCGCCCACUCCCUUCCUCCAUCUCCGCCCUCACCGCCUCCCCCUCCGCCUCCGCUCCACCUCCCCGACCGCCUCCGACCUCACCGCCUUCCCCCCGAACCCGAACGGGAUCUUUGCGUCCGACCGGCCCAUCGACGUGGACGCCGCCACGGAGGCCGAGCUGCGGGAGAACGGGUUCCGGAGCACGCGCCGCACCAAGCUCG
rnacentral:lncRNA from 1 species